CCUUCCCUCUGCAGCUCGGAGCAUGAAGGGCAGCGCAUGCAGGCCGUGGAGCGCUGCCUCGGUCUCCUCCAAAGCGGUGGCGGCAACAGAGAGGGUCAAACCGCUGCCCAUCCCGUCGCCCGGCAUGAAGGCCUCCAAGUCGUCCACUUCGCUGGCCUUCGACUCCCGGCUCGGGAAGCUGAAAAGGGCCAGCAGUGAGGACAUGCUGAACAAGCCGGGCUUUGCUGCGGCCGCGGGGGUCUCCCGCCUGAAGAAGACCGUCACCACGGGGGCCAUCGCCGAACUGGCCGAAAACCGGUUGCGGACCAGCACAGGCUCCAUCCCGCCGUCGUCCAAACGCACGGGGAUCCCGGCUCCGCGGGAGCUGCCGGCCUCAGUGGCGAGAGAGAAAGCGGCCUUGCGUCCCCGGAAAGCCCAGCCUAGCCUUGCUUCCGCCUCCGCAUCUUCCGUGGGAGCUCCCGCCCCGAGCAAGGCCUCACGGCCUGUUCUCAAGCUCAAAGGCAAUGAGGCCGAAGCUGGGGACAAGGCGGCCUUGGAGUCCCAGGUCAAGGAGCUGCUGGCUGAAGCCAAGGUGAAGGAUUCGGAGAUCGGCAAGCUGCGGAACGAGCUCAAGAAGCGGCAGGAGAGGAAGGAACCGGCCAAUGGGGACCUGCCCAGUUCAGCCGACCCUUUGGUCCGGACUCUGCGGGAGAAGAACCAGGCGUUCCAAAAGGAGCUGCUGGGCCUCGGGGAGGAGAACCGGGCGCUGAAAGAGAAGCUGGCCCACUUGGAGAACUCCCCUUCGUCGUCAUCGGACACUGUCGGCAGCAGCCUCCCAACGCCAACCACGCAGGAAUCGAGUUUCGGGAGCCCCUCAGCGGAAGGGACCGGCGGUAGUUUGCCGUGCCCCAAUGGGCCACCCUUCCGGACCUCCGGCUCAUCCAGCAGCGAUGUCACCAAAGCGUCCUUGUCACCCGACGUGUCGGACUUUGAGCACAUCAUGGACGCCCCUUCACCCUUCAAGACCUCCCCAAGGCCUUCCACCUCGGGGAGCUCCCCCAACAAUGCCAGUGACCUCUCGGUGGCCUCGCUGACAGAGCGCAUCCAGCGGAUGGAGGAGAACCACCAUUGCACGGCCGAGGAGCUCCAGGCCACCUUGCAGGAGCUCUCUGACCAGCAGCAGGUGGUCCAGGAGCUGACGGCUGAGAACGAGAAGCUGGCAGAGGAGAAGGCCCUGCUGGAGAGCUCCUUCCGGCAGCACCAGGAACGCGCUGAACAGCUGAGUCAGGAAAACGAGAAGCUCACCGCCCUUCUCCAGGAAAGGCCCAAGACUGACGAGGGCAAGGCCAAGGCUCACGAGCUGGAGCAACGAUGUGCUGAGUUGGAACAGAAGGCUCACUUCGAGCGGGAGAAGAUGCUCAACAUCCAGCAGCAGCUGACCGGCAGUCUGCGCAGCUUGGAACGGGAGCACCAGGAGUGUCUCGCGGCGGCCGGGAGUCUCCGGGAGGAGAAAGGCCGGGCGACACUCCUCCUGGAAGCCGAGCGGCAGAGCAGCACCAGCCUGGCCAAGACCCUGGAGGAGUGCAAGGUCUCCCUGGAGGGGCUCAGGAUCGAGAACAGCUCGCUGCGCUCCCAGCUGGAGAGCGAGCGGCAGAAGGCGGCCGCCAUGGACGCCGCAGCAGGGUUCGCCGGCACCUCGGAUGUCCAGGAGAUGUUGAAACGGGUCCGGGAGGAGAAGGAUCACCUGGAGCUGACCUGCACCGAGCUCAAGCAGGAGCUGCUCAAGGCCCAUAGCGAAGUCAAGGCCCUGCAGGGCCAGCUGGCCAAGUCCGAAAGCGAACGGCGGCAGCUGAAGGAAUCUUUGGAGCAACAGUCGGAGCAGCUCAGCCGCGCAGGCCUCAAGCUGCAGGAGAAGACCCUGGAGAACGAGGCCGAGAUCAAGAACCUGAAGGACGCCAUCUUUGAGCUGGAAGACCAAGUGGAGCAGCACCGGGCGGUCAAGCUGCACGACAACCAGGUCAUACGGGACUUGGAAGGUAACCUGAUGAAACUAGAAGACCAGAAAGCCGAUCUGGAGAGGCAGCUGAAGGCCUUGAACAAGCAGAUCAAGGAAGAGACGGAGGAGUGGCGCCGCUUCCAGGCCGACCUGCAGACAGCGGUGGUGGUGGCCAACGACAUCAAGUGCGAGGCACAGCAGGAGUUGCGGGCCGUCAAGCGGCGCUUGCUGGAGGAGGAGGAGAAGACAGCCCGGUUGGCCAAGGAGCUGGAGGAGGCUCGCGGAGGCAGUGGCAGUUCCGCUUGCGCUAUGUUGUGUGUGUCCUAAGCUCUCUCCUCCUCCUUGUUCCACCGAUGUGUCCUGCUCCCCCCGCGUGCCUUUGUGUUGCUGCGGCCUGUGUCCCGUCUUGCCAGAAGCUUCCAGAGUCUGCCACGCUCUCGUUGUUCACAACCAGGCAGGGAGGGGACCACCAUGUUUGUUUAAACUGUCCACCUGCCUCAGUGUUAGAUGCUCCUCAAAGGGCUUGGAGGUUGUCUAUUUGGUGCGCCGAUCUCAUGGAUCUCUCAUCCCGGUAAACUAAGAAGAACGACGUUCAGAGCGACCGAUCAAGCCAAACAUGUCCGAACUUCUAAUGAAUGGAGUUUCCCAAACGGAGCGUGAAGCGUUUCUACACCUUCUCGCCGGGACCAAACCUUACAAAACAAUUGACUUCUCGCUCAGCUUCUCGUCUUCCGGGAUCCCAUUUCUCCGGACGGCAGGCCACAGAGAGCAACUAAGAGCAGAUCCGGGUGAAAAAGACGCUCCAGACUCUUCCACAUGAGGAGCACCUUCCUCCUUUGGGAUUUAGACCAGGUCCAUAGGAUUUCUAGGAGAAUAUUUGGCCGGGUCGCCUUGGCAAAGACCCGCCACAAGGGGGCAGCACAAGACCACAAUUCGGAAGAUAAUUUCCGAAUUUUGAGAUUUCUUUUUUGAAAUCCAGGAAAUAUAACUUUCUUUUUUGGUCAUUAGACCGAAAAACAUUUCUAGAUGACGGCAGAGUUGAUUGCAUUAUCUCAGGUUUGCCUUGAAAUUGCCAGGGCAGAUGGAAGUGGUAACCUCAUAGAUACAUACAUACACACACACACACACACACAUAUAUAUAUUUGCUUAUGUUUUCUUUCAAAGUUGUGCUGACAGUGGAUGUUAUUAUGCACCCUAAGAACCGUCUCAACACAGGAAAUGUUCCCGACUUAUCUAUUUGAAACUACAGCAACAGGAUGGCAAAAAUAUUCCGUAUUAUUUAUUUUUCCAUCCGAAAACUAGAACUCCCGAUAAUUGGGACUCCUUUUUUUGCUAUCAGUAUUUGAAUGUCUCGGUGCAUUAUAAAGCUUAGCUUUGUCUGAAAAGAGAAACGUAGGGCUGCUUUUCCCUGUGUUUGCGGUACAGAAUUUUCUGUGCAGAAUUUUCUCCCCCGAAACGUCUGUACAAAAAAUUCUGCACAAAAUCCCUUUUUUGCACUAAAAACGCGUUUUCUGCGCCGGAAAGACAUCUUUGUACCAAAAAAAAGCACAUGAUGUCUGGAGAAAAUGUGUUUUCUGUGUAGGAAACUUCUUCUUUUUCGCUCUCGUUUUUCCACACUGAAAAAUAUUGUUUCCGGAUACUUCAGUCUGGGAAGAAUCCCGGUCUAGGAUAUGAAUGUUUCUUCCGCCGUGGUGAUAAAACUGCAGCGGUUAUUCAGGGAUGAAAUAACGGAUUAAUUUUUCGGGACUCAUUGUUUCCUCCUUUGAGGGCGUUUUACUCAGGGGAAAGUUGGAGGGAAUGAGCUGGGCUCGUUUCCAGCAUCGUUUUGCUCCGAAAUUUGCACAGGUUGGCUUUUGCUUUCAGGGACUGAAUGGAUCCCCGUUUCUCGAUCGUUGUUACCCCUUUCGCUGAAUUCCUGGUUUGCGACGCCGUUCCGCCGUUGUGACGCUGUUCUGUGCGAGACUCGUAAUGGUCCUGAGGAUUGUGUGUGUGACGCCAUGCCUUGAAUGGAGUUGUACAAAAAGUGCUAAAUAAACAUGCGGACGUUGACAAGG